AAAAGAAACUAACAAGGAUUCCCCUAGUAACGGCGAGUGAAGAGGGAAGAGCUCAAAUUUUAAAUCUGCCUUGUUUUCAGGGUCGAGUUGUAAUUUGAAGAAGCGUUUUCUUGGGCUCGCGGCCGGUAGAAGUUCUUUGGAACAGGACAUCAUAGAGGGUGACAAUCCCGUCUGCGACCGGUCGUGUGUUCAUCUACGAUACGCUUUCAAAGAGUCGAGUUGUUUGGGAUUGCAGCUCCAAAUGGGUGGUAAACAUCACCUAAGGCUAAAUAUUGGCGAGAGACCGAUAGCGAACAAGUACCGUGAGGGAAAGAUGAAAAGAACUUUGAAAAGAGAGUUAAACAGUACGUGAAAUUGUUGAAAGGGAAACGAUUGAAGUCAGUCGUGCUGGCGCGAAAUCAACCUUCUCGUCUUGAGAUCACAUGGCGUGGCGAGCCUCAAAACCGUCACGAAGCGUGAACUCUUGGUGAAAUGGAGCACUUUCGUGUCCGCUGGUUAACAUCAAUUUCGAACGUCAUAAAAAGGCUGGAGGGAUGUGGCUCCUUCGGGAGUGUUAUAACCUUUAGCGGAAUGUGGUGAUCGGGAUUGAGGAUUGCAACG
rnacentral:rRNA from 1 species